AUAUUAUAUAAAAUCUACAAUUUACAGUCAUAUUAUUUUUAUCCUUAUUAUUAAAUAAACAGAUCUGUGUCACAAAUGUUUUAAUACUUUAUUGAGUGAUCGACGAAUUGUUUUAUAAAUUUCACUAUAGAAGCAUGUCAAGAUAUAAUAUCCAAAUAUUAUACUAUUUCAUGUUACCUUAUGAAUCUUUUAUUACGCCUUUUAUGUACGUAAAACGAACAAAAAAUAUGCACGUGCAAUGUCAUGGCGAUAUGCACGCUUUUCUUUAUUUACUAUUUAAACAUCAGAGUGCAUAUUCAGACAAUGGUCAGCGUUACGCAAACGCGUACGGAAGAUAUCACGCGUCAUUAUACGAGCGAUAAACCCAUCUAUAGGUAAUCGAUCUAUUCACUCGGAAAGGGAAAUUAUGCGAGACGAGAAAGACUGUGAUUGCCACAAAUCAACCUCUUCUUGAUGAGAGUAUAUUAAAUUUCAAUUAAUUUAUGAGUCGGCUAAGCGACAAGGUCGCUCAACGAUGCAAUUAUGUGACUAUUCGAUCGUGUACAGAAAAUAAACAAGCAUGAGUCGGCAGAGAAUGCAAGUUUCUAACAUGUCGGCAGCAGUCUAUUACAUCUAAUUGCUGUAAUCUUCGCACAUAGUUGCAAUGACCUUGAUCGUCUAUUGGACCCAACGGCUAGGAGCCGAAUCGAUGUCGUGUCUCGAUCAGCGGCUGCUGAUCGUAAUAAGAGAGAUAUGGAAUGUCUUUGAACUUAUACAAGUUUCUGGAAUCAAUACUAGCAAUAAUAUCGAUGAUAUGUAGGCAAUAUAUUAUUAAUCUAAGAAAUGUACAUAUGUAUAUAUUAUUGAUCUCGGAGAAAAGUGUAUAUAUAUUAUUUAGAAUAGACAUUGAUUGCUUAAACUUUGAGUUGCGUGCAUAAGAAUACGUGUUGUACCAAAAUGUGUUGUAGAUUCUUUCGAGUGUUAUUAAACAAUUUAUAUCUUUUUCAAAUUGUAUUUGUGUGUAAGAUAUUUUCGAAAUUAAUUAGAUGUAUAGAAUAUCUACUUGCGUCAAUAAAAUCAUUAUUUCUACUUUGAAA